UACGUAGGGGGCUAGCGUUGUCCGGAAUCAUUGGGCGUAAAGCGCGUGUAGGCGGUUCGGUAAGUCCGCUGUGAAAGUCCAGGGCUCAACCCUGGAAUGCCGGUGGAUACUGUCGGGCUCGAGUCCGGAAGAGGCGAGUGGAAUUCCUGGUGUAGCGGUGAAAUGCGCAGAUAUCAGGAGGAACACCAAUGGCGAAGGCAGCUCGCUGGGACGGUACUGACGCUGAUGCGCGAAAGCGUGGGGAGCAAACGGG
rnacentral:rRNA from 1 species